AUCCAGAUGACGAAUCCCAAAUAGGACGAAAUGCGCGUCCUGGAU
rnacentral:hammerhead_ribozyme from 1 species